rnacentral:rRNA from 1 species
CGCGUAGGCGGUCAGGCAAGUCGGGUGUGAAAUCCCUCGGCUCAACCGGGGAACUGCGCCCGAAACUACCUGACUUGGGUACGGAAGAGGAGAGUGGAAUUCCCAGUGUAGCGGUGAAAUGCGUAGAUAUUGGGAGGAACACCUGUGGCGAAGGCGACUCUCUGGUCUGAUACCGACGCUGAGGCGCGAAAGCUAGGGGAGCGAACAGGAUUAGAUACCCUGGUAGUCC